rnacentral:lncRNA from 1 species
ACACAACGUAUAAAUAGUGUUCUGUAUGUAUUGAAAUAGUGUCAUCACUGUCAUGAGUGUGAAAAUAGUGUCCUGAAUGAUAGAAUAAUACAAGUUAUCCAAAAGGUUCCCUUCUCAGUCGCCAGCUAGCCUCGCUUCUGGACUGGACUCUGGCAGCACUACGCGCUUGGAGCAAAUUGUUGGCAAAUACCAGCGAGGGUAUUUGAGGAAACUCUCUGCCAACCUUCAAUUGUGAAGCGUAAUCUUCUUCAUCAAGCUCGGCAUCGCACCUUCUUGUCGGCCAAAACCCCCUUGUGAAAUCAACGAACAAUACAAAAUGAGUGAGCAAGAGCUGAUGUUGAGCUUUAGCGCAAAUACCACUAAUCGAACUGGCGAGGGAUUUUGGGGAAUCGGGAUACGCCUUCUGAAUAUUUAUCUCGGAAGUGGAAGUCGCAGCGGGUCUUUUGGAGCGGACUGGAGUAAUACGAUCAGGUUCGUCCCGAGGGCUGACUACGCCCCAGACACACGCGUGUGCCACAUGACUCUGGAGCAGUUGUGUGACGAAAUGGAGCGCUGCUCCAGAGUGGACGGGGAUGUAGUGGAAGAAGUGUCUUAUUAUGCUACGCGUCUAGUGUCAAACCAACAAAGUGCUACAAUCAGUUACAAUUCGGCCUCCUUGUACCAAUAUCUCGAAGAUUUUAAACAUAAUUUCAUUCAAUUCUUCGAAAGUUUGAAGGAUAAUUUUGUUCUAUUCCCCGAAAGCUUCAUGCAUAAUUUCGUUAUACUCAAGAUCGGAAGGGGAUAUUGGUCAUUGGACAAGUUCCAUGAUGGAAUAGUAAUUCAGCGAAGCUUAUCGGUGUUCGAUGUCAUGAGCAAGUGCUUGAACAAUUCCAGGAUCAUAGAGGGUAGUGGCUGCAGGCUUGAAUGCAGCCGUCGCAACGAGUUCCAUUCAUCUUCCUCGCGGCCAAAUAAAACAAUGAAGGAUUUCAUUGGAUGGAUGAAGGAAUCUGAACAUCUUAGCAGGCCGUACAACGUGAUCUCCAGCAACUGCGUUUGCCUGACCAAGGAGUUGGAGGAGAAAUUCCAUCGAUGAGUUGCAUGCAACUCACUACUUGAACGAUGACGAUUUGCACACUAAAUGUAUCUCUAGGCUCUAAUUUAGCAAAAUAUAAUGGUCAGUAAUUACGUUGAAAUUCUAGUUCGAAAUAUCAGGAACCAUAAAAUUUAUCCGCUAGUGACUUCGCUGCCGAAAUUAUUUUAUUUUGAUAUUCUGAGCGCAAAAGUUUCAUUCCAGUGGUGAAAUUUUUUAAUAAUUUGAAUAAAACUACGAUGUCGUGAUUGCGAUAAUUUUUUCAUGUUAAAAUACUUUCAUGGAAAUCCGAUAGAUCGAGGUAAUAAAAUAUUUUGCCGGUAAAGAAACGGGAUCAAUGAAAAUAUGAGUGAGAAAUUUUCUUUUGCUCACUACCUUCACCGAAUAUUUAUAGUUGAACUUUCACUUUAUGGGAAUAAUGCCUGCAUAUAUCAUCUAUGUGUUGUCUCAUCCGGCUUUGAACGAGCUAAUUUUAUUAUAUAGAUACUAAGUUUUCUGUACACUCAUUUUUAAAUCUAUAUUCCGUCUAUUACUAUUUGCAAAUCCGAUGUCAGAUUGCAUGCCGAGUUUGAGGUCCCCAAGAUACACGUCGUCACUAAGUUAAUUGGAACGGUGUGCCAGCUAUAGAAUAGAAUAGAAGUGUCGGCAAUGAAGAAAUAGGCUAUGCGCCGCUUACAUUGUUUAGAUUUAAAUACUCACUGCUGGACUUUUUAUUGUAUUUUUUUGUCUUUCUUGCAAGCCUAGUAAUCCAUUAUUUAUUUCGUGCGCUUGUUCAGUAUUCACCUAUUUCCCUUGAUACAAACAUCCCAGUAGCUUCAUUGUGAUGAGUUGUAUGCUUCUUCGAUUUCAUUUAAAAUUCAUGAUCAUGUUCUCUCGGUUGAUCAACACAUCAUGUUUCUUAAGCACAUUGCAUGGCAGUGCGAACUUAACGAGAAGCUGCUCCGAGAAACUGUAAUAGGCCUGAAGCAAAGGCCACGUUAGCUCUUCACAAAGCCGGCAUGAGAAAGCCUAAGCGCCUAACUUCAGUAAGAUGCAAGAUUCGAUUGUUGUUUUAGCUGACCCAGUAAAUAUAAAAUAUGUAAAUAGGACCUAGUAUUUGCAAGGACAAGUGACCUAACACGUGAUGCCUGUUGUACUGUAAUGAAUAGCGGCUAAUAUUGGCAAGUCGUAGUAGCUGCCGCUACUAGCCCCAUGGCCAGGGGAUUUAAUGGGAUGUAUUUCCCCGUUUCUAUAGUUUCGUUUCAUCGACUUCUAAGCCAUACUUGCAUUCCACGGCAAUUUCUUGAUUUGAAUGUUUGUCCUGACCAAAUCCUCUCAUCCUAUGGCCUGUUCCUCUUUAAAUGGCGAUUUUUGAAACCUUGAUAUAAUUUGAGUUUGGCGACACUGUUAUCCACCUGCCAUUACCCCAAGCAACGAGUGUCCACAGAUAACGAGAGUUGGCGCUCACGUUAGUAUAUAACACUUUCAGUUAUUUUAGAAGGUUUAAUAAAGGAAUCGAAUUAUUGUUCUGCUCUCAUUUAACCGAUGUAAAGGAAACGCGUCAGUUGAAUUCUACCUGACAAUACAAUACAUGAAAUAUUUCAAAUAAAUUAAUUGGAAAUAUUUUCAGCUUCAACUUGCCUUAGGAUACAAGAUGUAUUUGCUUAUGUAAUGUGUUCUUAUAGCUUUCUUUGAUAUAAUUGGAAACGCAUCAAGGAAACUCUGAUCCCAUAUUUGUGUGCGAUGAGUUAUAAUGAAAAACUUGAAUAAAAAGUAGUAAAAACUAAAACAAAACUAUGAU